rnacentral:rRNA from 1 species
AGUGAACGCUGGCGGUAGGCCUAACACAUGCAAGUCGAACGGCAGCACAGUAAGAGCUUGCUCUUACGGGUGGCGAGUGGCGGACGGGUGAGGAAUACAUCGGAAUCUACUUUUUCGUGGGGGAUAACGUAGGGAAACUUACGCUAAUACCGCAUACGACCUACGGGUGAAAGCAGGGGAUCUUCGGACCUUGCGCGAUUGAAUGAGCCGAUGUCGGAUUAGCUAGUUGGCGGGGUAAAGGCCCACCAAGGCGACGAUCCGUAGCUGGUCUGAGAGGAUGAUCAGCCACACUGGAACUGAGGCAAGGGCCAGACCCCUACGGGAAGGCGCAGUGGGGAAUAUUGGACAAUGGGCGGAAGCCUGGUCCAAGCCUUCCGGGGGGGGGAAAGAAGCCUUCGGGUUUGUAAGGCCUUUUGUUGGGAAAGAAAAACCGCCAGGUUAUACCCCCCCGUUCUGACGGUACCCAAAGAAUAAGCACCGGCUAACUUCGUG